rnacentral:rRNA from 1 species
UCGAGCGGUAGGCCCUUCGGGGUACACGAGCGGCGAACGGGUGAGUAACACGUGGGUAACCUGCCCUGUACUCUGGGAUAGGCCCGGGAAACUGGGUCUAAUACCGGAUACGACACUGGAUCGCAUGAUCUGGUGUGGAAAGUUCCGGCGGUAUGGGAUGGACCCGCGGCCUAUCAGCUUGUUGGUGGGGUAAUGGCCUACCAAGGCGACGACGGGUAGCCGGCCUGAGAGGGUGACCGGCCACACUGGGACUGAGACACGGCCCAGACUCCUACGGGAGGCAGCAGUGGGGAAUAUUGCACAAUGGGCGAAAGCCUGAUGCAGCGACGCCGCGUGAGGGAUGACGGCCUUCGGGUUGUAAACCUCUUUCAUCAGGGACGAAGCGCAAGUGACGGUACCUGCAGAAGAAGCACCGGCUAACUACGUGCCAGCAGCCGCGGUAAUACGUAGGGUGCGAGCGUUG